rnacentral:tRNA from 1 species
CCCUGGCUGGCUCAGAUGGUAAAGAAUCUGCUUGCAAUGCAGGAGAUCCAAGUUCAAUCCCUGGGUCAGAAA